ACGAACGCUGGCGGCAUGCCUAACACAUGCCAGCCGAACGCGACCUUCGGGUCUAGUGGCGCACGGGUGCGUAACGCGUGGGAACCUGCCCUUAGGUUCGGAAUAACUCCCCGAAAGGGGUGCUAAUACCGGAUAAUGUCUUCGGACCAAAGAUUUAUCGCCUUUGGAUGGGCCCGCGUUGGAUUAGCUAGUUGGUAGGGUAAAAGCCUACCAAGGCGACGAUCCAUAGCUGGUCUGAGAGGAUGAUCAGCCACACUGGGACUGAGACACGGCCCAGACUCCUACGGGAGGCAGCAGUGGGGAAUAUUGGACAAUGGGCGAAAGCCUGAUCCAGCAAUGCCGCGUGAGUGAUGAAGGCCUUAGGGUUGUAAAGCUCUUUUACCCGGGAUGAUAAUGACAGUACCGGGAGAAUAAGCUCCGGCUAACUCCGUG
rnacentral:rRNA from 1 species